UUUUACGGAGAGUUUGAUCCUGGCUCAGGACGAACGCUGGCGGCGUGCUUAACACAUGCAAGUCGAACGAUGAAGCCUAGCUUGCUGGGUGGAUUAGUGGCGAACGGGUGAGUAACACGUGAGUAACCUGCCCUUGACUCUGGGAUAAGCGCUGGAAACGGCGUCUAAUACCGGAUAUGACCUGCCCCGGCAUCGGGUGUGGGUGGAAAGUUUUUCGGUCAAGGAUGGACUCGCGGCCUAUCAGCUUGUUGGUGAGGUAAUGGCUCACCAAGGCGACGACGGGUAGCCGGCCUGAGAGGGUGACCGGCCACACUGGGACUG
rnacentral:rRNA from 1 species